AAAGAUACACAUAUAUGUAUAUAAAGAUAAAAGGAUAAGAGAGAGAAAUGCGCGUGUUAUGUGACGGUAUAACGUCGGGACCGAUUGAGAAAGACGCCCUGCUGAGAUGCGAGGCCGAGUGCCGCCGGAUUCAAAGAACUCGAAGAACCCGAGGUAAACAAAAUAUUUCUGCAUGCCUUACGGUGUGACUAACACACAUAUGUAUAACUAUACCGACAUUUAUAUAUAUAUAUACAUGAAUAAAGUACAUAUAAAAUACACAUAUGCGAGCACAAAUAUGCAGAGAGGUAAAAAGAAUUAUAUAUAUAUGAGAGAGGCGUCUUUCAUGAUGUUGAGAUCGAAAACAGUGGCGCCCCCGUAGCGGGGCAAAGGGCCCCCUGAAGAUGGGCCUCACGCUUGGUAUAUGUAUAUAUGGUGGGAAAAAGAAGUGGUAUCUCGCGACGACGACGACGCAAGCAAGCAAGCAAGCAAACAAGCAAGCGGAGAAAUAAGAGUAAGAUAGAAUAGCCACCAGACAGGGUACCGUGCGGCAGGCAGAGACGACAGCGGGGGGCUAUGGAAUGCGGCCGUGGCCCCGGGUAUAUACGCGUAUUUGUGUAUUUAUGUGGAACACCGUGAACGCCAAUGUCUUUAUGGGGUGAGGACCAGCAAGGAGAAGAGCAGACACCAAGAGAAAUCCUGGAGACCCAUGACCAAUACAAGGUGUGUGUGUUUGCCAACAGUGGGAUACAUGCCCUUUUCAUUUUUAAGUAGGGUUAUACCUGGAAUGAUACAAAGUUGCUUGGCACGUGAGGGAAUGUCGUUGAUGUUGGUUGAUUCAGGGAAGAAGAUGCCAAGAGGAAAAAGAGUAUAAGGCCUAGUUGAGCAUACCAUCUUGAGUCGGUCCAGCCAAGUCGAUAAUAACCCCACCAUUUGCGACAUUCCAUAAGGAUAGUGGGGAUUUAAAGACGCAAAAGAUGCUCAAGAGGAAGAGGACGUGAGUGUUAAGUGCAUAUAUAUAUAAAUAUUUUUAAAUGUAUGUGUGUUAUGUGUGGGAAGGGGAACGCGACGCGCCGUGGGAACCGAGGAAAACGUUUCCCGCAUACCAGUCUCUCUCCUCCCUCAUCCUCUUACUCUGCUCCACCUCGCCAACAUCCACCUUCUUUAUCUUCUUUGCAAGGCCCUACAUAUCCCCACUAUCAUUUGAUAGUUAUAUACCCAUAAACACGAGAAUUCUUUUUUUUUUUUUAUUUCGUAUAUACGUCCCAAGCAACUCUACCAAACGCUCGACAUUUUUCUUUGGGCUUCGCACUCGAAUAUCUAAUCCCCUUACCUCCCACUACCUCUUAAACAUUUUUCAUCUCAACCAGACCCCCCUAGCUCUUCUCGCGGAAUUUUAAUGCUUUCUUUUUCAAGCCCACCCGUUUUGGUUUUCUUUUUUAUAUUUUUUUAAUUUAUUUUUUUAACUC